rfam:Asian citrus Psyllid, Diaphorina citri - Florida Strain, whole genome shotgun sequence.
GCGCGGAGUAGCACGUUUAAUGCACCAGUUCUCAAUGGACCACUGAAAAUAAGUGACGUUGCGUGUGGUUAGUAUCGGGAUGGGUGACCAUCUAGGGAAUUGGGUGCUGCUUGCA